CAGGAUGCCCGGUUAAGUUAGAAUUUCAGUAAAAAGCAAAUAAUGUUUUAAUGUAAGUAUGUCCAAUGCAAUAUUUGGGACAUACUUAUAUUAAAAAAUAUCACUUGUUUAUCUGAAAUUCACAUUUAACUAGUCCUCCUGUA
rnacentral:miRNA from 1 species